rnacentral:rRNA from 1 species
GAUGAACGCUGGCGGCGUGCUUAACACAUGCAAGUCGAGCGGAGAUAUUUGAAAGCUUGCUUUUGAAUAUCUUAGCGGCGGACGGGUGAGUAACGUGUGGGCAACCUGCCUCAUACAGAGGGAUAAUCAUGUGAAAACGUGACUAAUACCGCAUGUCAUUUGUUGAAGGCAUCUUCGACAAAGAAAAGGAGCAAUCCGGUAUGAGAUGGGCCCGCAUCUGAUUGGCUAGUUGGUGAGAUAACGGCCCACCAAGGCGACGAUCAGUAGCCGACCUGAGAGGGUGAUCGGCCACAUUGGGACGGAGACACGGCCCAAACUCCUACGGGAGGCAGCAGUGGGGAAUAUCGCUCAAUGGGGGAAACCCUGAUGCAGCAACGCCGCGUGAAGGAAGACGGUUUUCGGAUUGUAAACUUCUAUCAAUAGGGACGAAGAAAGUGACGGUACCUAAAUAAGAAGCCCCGGCCAACUACC